rnacentral:rRNA from 1 species
CCUACGGGUGGCAGCAGUGAGGAAUAUUGGUCAAUGGGCGCGAGCCUGAACCAGCCAAGUCGCGUGAGGGAAGACGGUCCUAUGGAUUGUAAACCUCUUUUGUCGGGGAGCAAAAGACGUCACGCGUGGCGUCCCGAGAGUACCCGAAGAAAAAGCAUCGGCAAACCCCGUGCCAGCAGCCGCGGUAAUACGGAGGAUGCGAGUGUUAUCCGGAUUUAUUGGGUUUAAAGGGUGCGCAGGCGGAAGAUUAAGUCCGGGGUAAAAUUGAGGGGCUCAACCACUUCGAGCCGUUGAAACUGGUGGUCUUGAGUGAGUGAGAAGUAUGCGGAAUGCGUGGUGUAGCGGUGAAAUGCAUAGAUAUCACGCAGAACUCCGAUUGCGAAGGCAGCAUACCGGCGCUCAACUGACGCUCAUGCACGAAAGUGUGGGGAUCGAACAGGAUUAGAUACCCGUGUAGUC